rfam:Acidovorax citrulli AAC00-1, complete genome.
UCCGCCGGGUCAGGAGAGAGCGCCGCGCCCGCAACGGGUGGCUGGCGCCGCCGAAGGCGCAGGGAAUCCCGAACGCUCAGGCAAAAGGACUGGCAAGG